CCAGGAGGGAGUUAAAGUGUGACUCUUGGAGUCACUAAUGCAUGAGGGAUAUUAAUAUGACAUCAGAUGUGAUCAGCUAGACAUGAAGAAUAGGUAGGGAAUAACUAUGGCCCGAGGUAGUGCCUUGGAGAAUGCCAAUGUUGAAAAGUAAGGAAGAGGUGCUGGGUGUAAAAAUUGGAGUCUGAGAAGAAAUGACCAAUGUAGAAGGGUGGAGAAAUUCUCCAUUUGAACAGAGAAAGCAUGAACUGACAAAUCAAUGCUUUUGAAAUGACAGGUCACACAAGAAGGGGGUACGACAAAGGGAAUAUCAUUAACAAACAAGUUCGUUUCAGUGGACUGGUAGAUAUAAAAGAGAGAGUGGGUGAUAAAAACAAAAUCGACAGUUAAAAGCCAUUUUAUCUCCUUUUGCUACUUAAGAGAACUGUAUUUAGAUUGGGGUUGCAAGGUUAUCUCCCGCCUGCUGAUGGGAUGAGGCUGAAGAGCAGAAGCAUGGGGAUGGGUGAGUGGCCCUAGGUAAUGUCCGAAGUGACUCUCUGAAUAGACGAGUCAAGCUCGCAUCCAGAAUGUAAGUGGAGAAUUGACCGCUGCAGCUGCUCGCCAUUACACAGGAGGGAUGCAGAAACCCCAGCCCUCUGUUCAGACAUUUCAGUCUUCCUUUGUGUUAUUCAAAAGUCAUUGCUAUGGUUCAGGUGUGGCUUGAGUGCGUACUGCACACAGUGCCCAGUACGGACUGGGCGUGUUUAAUAAGACCUAGUUGGAGUUGAUGGGAUGUUUAGGGAUAAUGCCCUGAAGAGAAUGAAAAUAGUUCUCAUGGGGAGCUAGUUAGGCUGCUCAGAGGUUUGUUAUAAGAAGCUAAGACUUGCUUUCCACACUCUCUCUUCCUGUCUAAUACCCAAUGUCCCCUUCUUCCAGGUGCUUGUACAUGCCUUCUGACAUGAUUGACACAGCCAAGGAAAAGAGCCCAUCAGUCAUUAUCAUCAUGCUACAUAGAUCUCUGAAACUGUGAUUAUUAUCUAUAUAGAUUAUUUUCUAUAUAGAGUACUUGGAUUCAGAUAUUCUGUGAUAGCAGUGGAAAAUGGACUACUGUAAUCAUCAAGUUGUUCAGAAUUACCAUUGCUGUAGGAAUUAUGGAGGGAACCAGGAGCAGACUGUUUCCAGGAAGCUAAGAGGGGUCUCCAAGCCCACCCCUACAGUGACACGCUUCUCCAACAAGCCCAAACCUACUCCAACAAGGCUACAUCUUCUACUAGUGCCACUCCAUGGGCCAAGCAUAUUCAAACUACCACAGUCAGAAUCUCUCAGCCCAGAGCUUGCAAUGAAAUUGUCUGGAUGACCAGCUUGCUCCAGGGAAUCCCGUGCCUCUUCCUUCAGAGUGUUAUAAUCACAGAACCAAAGAAUGUUGACAGAACUUCUCAGCGAGUGGAACUACCUAUGACAGGACAUUGAAAAUUGCACUCCCCACAGAAUCUGUGCCAUUGUGCAUAUGAAACUAUUGAAAUUCUCGAUGACAGGACACUGGCAUAUUUGGAUCCUUGAGUUACUUUGUAGACAAAGAAAGGAAUGCAGUGAAAGGAAACACAUCUAAAUGUGAGUGUUGAGCAUUUAGUGUUCAAACAUAUCUUGACAAAGUCAUUAGAAAACUACAAAACAAAAGAGGUUAAAAGUAGGGUUAGGUUUGCAUGGACUGUUGAAAACCAAAAAGUGGAUAGAUGAUUCGGUAAGACUGGGGGCAGCUAUCUUGGACACAAAGGAAGACACACAGACAUUCAUCUGAUAUAUUAAAAGAUCCAUAAAUUAAAAACAUUAAAAAUGCAAUUUAAGAGAUAACAAGAGAUAGCACACAUGUACUCUCACAUCUAAAGGAAAGAAAUUGGCAAUGUAAAAGUUUAGCAAGGCUUUGAAGGGAUAGAUCAUGUGCAGGAAAUGCAAAUUAAAGCAGUUUGCCAAGUCAUUGGCAUUGAUUACUGAGUGUGAAUGACUUUGCCCUUAUGACUCAGCUGUUCUAUCAGCUCCAUACCAAUGAGCCCAUAGGUAAAAACAGGAGGGUGGCUACAUAGGCAGUGAAACUGACGAGAGCAGGAGCUAGAGACAGCUCAGGUCUGUUGGGACCCUCAAAGCAACGUUGCCAAGAAAUCUGUCCAUUGUCUUAUGUCUAUAGUUUGGAAGUUUGGUCUGUAUGUGAUACUACCUAGUUCCUGCAUGUUCCUUUUGUGUGUUGAAAAUGACUCUUUGCUCGCUUGCCAUGGUUGUUCUAGUUGGCAUACUUCCUCUAUUUUGUCUUCAAGACCUGACCUUCUCUCUUCAGCCCAUUCCACUCUGCAUGUUGGGCUUUUCCUUGCAUUCCCCAAUUGGAUUAUUGUUUUUAAAUUUCAUUUUCAUUUAACCCUGUGUUUUCUUUAAUAUCUCUAUCACUUUUCUGAAUUCAGUCUCCAAAUGCUGUUCUCAUCAUUUUAUUUAGCUCUAUGCUUGGACUUUUAUGGGCUUCCCUCACGUGUCUGCUGACGUCAUCAUCUUUGAGCUCAAGUUCAUUGAGCUGUUUGUGUCUUUAAACUUUGUGAAUUUUUUGAUGAAGUUUAUGAUUUUUUUUAAAUGUUUGUCCUUGUUCAUUUAGGUAAUUCUCACUGGAACAUACUUCAAUGGGACUGGUGGAUUUAGGUGGGGCCAUACUGUCUUUUUUGUUUGUUUGUUUUUGUUUUGUUUUUUGUUUUUUUGUUUUUGCUUGUUUGUUUUACUGUGAGAUCCCUUGCACGUGGCCUUCUUUGCUUGGUUGUAUCUGGUGCUACACCUGACUCUGUUGGGUGGAAGUGCUUUUUUUUGUCACUUAAGCUUGGCUAAGUUCAGGUGAGGUCAGGACUUGGCAUGUCUGUCCUUCAGAUGCUGAAGGAAUGGAAGUGAUCCAGAUUUUGUGCUAAGAAAGCAUGGAGAUUGUCAAACAGCUGGCUCUGCAUCGGCUGCUCUGCACUGUUGCCUGAGCUAUGCCUAUGAGGGUGAGGGUGGUCUGCCUGGCUGAGGUGUGGGGCACUCACUUGCCUAGGCUUGUGCACCAGCUGAGAAGCUUGGCUGAGGCUGCGAAUGGAGGGUUGCAUGGACAGCAAAAGCUCCAGGGACUUACCGGACUGGCUAGCACACAGAUGUCCUGGGUUAGGCACGGGGGUUGGAUAUGGUACAGGUGGGUCAUAC